GCGAGGCCGGAGCGCUGCCGCUGUGGCCCUUAGCGUGAGCAGCCCCCGCCACCUCUCGGCGGGCUCGCUUCCCCUUCCUGGCCCUCAGUCCUUAUCUCUCAUCGUCCUCUGGGGCGCCCCCAAUUGCCCAGGCUGGAGGGGAGGCGAAGAGGACGAUCACCCGGAGAACCACUUGGAGGGGAGCCCCACACUCCGGCUUAGGUCUCUGGAGGCGCAAGGUCCGGGCCAGGUGCGUCCGAGUCGGGACUGCGCUGCAGCCCGCGCCCUGGCCCCUGGGCGGGUCACGGCGCGGUCACUCUCGGGCCUCGCUGCCCCGCGCACGUGCGCUGUCCCGCGCCCUCCGGGGCGGCUGUGUGGGACCCGGGGCGACCGGGCGGCUCACCAGCUGGGGGGGAUGCCCGGCAUCAUCCCCGCGCACGCCUCUCCUUGGCUGGCACAGCCGCGGUGAAGUUUACUCCGCCGUGGGGCCCAGGCCGUGGCGACAAGGCGUCCCGAGAUGCCAGUCUUCUCCGCGAGGCUUAACUUCCUUCCCGCUCACAAACUCCGCGCCCUCCGCCCUCGGGCACUGUCGCUGCCCCCCUCAAAAUCUCCGCGUGCCGCUCGACCCCCCAAGCAGAGGCGGCAAGGAUCUUGCUUUCCGUUCUGAGCUCUCCGGCUGCCCCGCAAACACCGCCCGCAGAGGGAAUGGGAGGGAACUGGACCCGCGCGCAGAGCAGCGACCGCGGCGUCGGCGCGAGAAUUCGCAGACUCCCGCCUCUCGGAGCUGCGCUCCCCGCAGCGGCCAACGUGGGCUUUCUGGUGCGCGUCUCGCUCAGGUACCGCACUCCAGCCCCGGAGAGUCCCUGCCCUCUUGGGUAACAGACAGGUUGGCAGCCAAUGAAGAGGCGCGUCUCGCCUGUAUUUAAAUAGGCCCGCCCCCUUCUUUCACCCUCCCUCUCCAGGGAGGCGUUGCCUCGGCCGCGCGUAGGUUUCAAGUACAGAGGAUUCUUGGAGGCACCCAAAGUGGGCGCGAGGUAGCAAAGGCUGAGAGGUCAUCUCUAG
rnacentral:lncRNA from 1 species